CGGGGUUUAGCGCAGUUGGUAGCGCGCCUGGUUUGGGACCAGGAGGCCACAGGUUCGAAUCCUGUAACCCCGA
rnacentral:tRNA from 1 species